rnacentral:rRNA from 1 species
CCUACGGGAGGCAGCAGUGGGGAAUAUUGCUCAAUGGGCGAAACCCUGAAGCAGCGAAGCCGCGUGAAGGAUGAAGGAUCUCGGUAUGGUAACCUCCUUUUGUAGGGAAGUAAAUGAGGGUACCUGACUAAGGAUGCGUGUCUAACUACGGGCCAGCAGCCGCGGUAAGACGUAGGGAGCAAGGGUUAUACGGAUUUAGUGGGCGUAAAGGGAGCGUAGUGGGUAUUGCAAGUUAGAUGGGAAAACCCGGUGCUCAACACCGGGACUGCAUUGGAAACUGCCGAACUCGAGUGUCAGAGAGGCAGGUGGAAUGCGUGGUGUAGCGGUGAAAUGCGUAGAUAUUAGGAAGAACACCGAUGGCGAAGGCAGCUUGCUGG